UACGUAGGGUGCAAGCGUUGUCCGGAAUUAUUGGGCGUAAAGAGCUCGUAGGCGGUUUGUCGCGUCUGCUGUGAAAACCCGAGGCUCAACCUCGGGCCUGCAGUGGGUACGGGCAGACUAGAGUGCGGUAGGGGAGAUUGGAAUUCCUGGUGGAGCGGUGAAAUGCGCAGAGAUCAGGAGGAACACCCGUAGCGAAGGCGGCACUCUGGGCCGAUACUGACACUGAGGAGCGAAAGCGUGGGGAGCGAACAGG
rnacentral:rRNA from 1 species